CUACGGGUGGCAGCAGUGAGGAAUUUUGCGCAAUGGGGGAAACCCUGACGCAGCAACGCCGCGUGAGCGAAGAAGGCCUUCGGGUCGUAAAGCUCUGUCAAGUGGGAAAAAAAUUCUUUGAUGAACAGUCAAAGGACUUGAUGGUACCACUGGAGGAAGCACCGGCUAACUCCGUGCCAGCAGCCGCGGUAAUACGGAGGGUGCAGGCGUUGUUCGGAAUUACUGGGCGUAAAGAGCGUGUAGGCGGUUUGACAAGUCAGAUGUGAAAGCCCCGGGCUCAACCCGGGAAGUGCAUUUGAAACUGUUUCACUAGAGUAUGGGAGAGGAGAUUGGAAUUCCUGGUGUAGAGGUGAAAUUCGUAGAUAUCAGGAGGAACACCCGUGGCGAAGGCGAUUCUCUGGACCAAUACUGACGCUGAGACGCGAAAGCGUGGGGAGCAAACAGGAUUAGAUACCCUCGUAGUC
rnacentral:rRNA from 1 species